rnacentral:lncRNA from 1 species
UAUAGAUUGAAAUAAACAAUUAAUUUCCCCAUAGGCGACAAUGGUAGCCUUUUUCGAGAUACAGACUUUAGAAAGUUGAUUUUCUUAACGAAACCUUGCUAGAAUCAAAGAAAAGUUAUUAUGACAGUAUUUUUUGGUCCAAAAAAUAUAGGUUCGCGUUGCUUUUCUUAGCGUAUUUUGUACUUAUCUCCCAUGCCUAUCAAUUUUGCCCUUAAAAAUACGUGUCUUGUCCUAGUGUUGAAAAGUCAUCUCAGUGCCUUUAGGGCUACGGAAUAAUUUUUAUUUUGCCUUUUGUAUAAAGCAGAGUGCACGAAGUCUCUAAUAAUAAAAAACAACGGGCGCACAUAUCGACCAAUCAGGAUAAGUCAUACUCUUAAUUCUGAAUACCAUGUUAUGCUCAUAAAAUGGCUGCGCCCAUAAAAUCUAAUGGUGUAUUGUAACCUAUAACAGUAUUCUU